GAGUAUUGUCACCCUAUUUAAAAACCAUUUUAUAGGGUCGGGCCUGGUUAGUACUUAGAUGGGAGACCACCUAGGAAUACCAGGUGCUGUAGGCG
rnacentral:rRNA from 1 species